rnacentral:rRNA from 1 species
UGGGGAAUAUUGGACAAUGGGCGAAAGCCUGAUCCAGCCAUGCCGCGUGUGUGAAGAAGGUCUCCGGAUUGUAAAGCACUUUAAGUUGGGAGGAAGGGCAGUAAGUUAAUACCUUGCUGUUUUGACGUUACCGACAGAAUAAGCACCGGCUAACUCUGUGCCAGCAGCCGCGGUAAUACAGAGGGUGCAAGCGUUAAUCGGAAUUACUGGGCGUAAAGCGCGCGUAGGUGGUUUGUUAAGUUGGAUGUGAAAGCCCCGGGCUCAACCUGGGAACUGCAUCCAAAACUGGCAAGCUAGAGUACGGUAGAGGGUGGUGGAAUUUCCUGUGUGGCGGUGAAAUGCGUAGAUAUAGGAAGGAACACCAGUGGCGAAGGCGACCACCUGGACUGAUACUGACACUGAGGUGCGAAAGCGUGGGGAGCAAACA